UACGAAGGGGGCUAGCGUUGCUCGGAAUUACUGGGCGUAAAGCGCACGUAGGCGGAUCGUUAAGUCGGGGGUGAAAUCCUGGAGCUCAACUCCAGAACUGCCUUCGAUACUGGCGAUCUCGAGUUCGGGAGAGGUGAGUGGAACUGCGAGUGUAGAGGUGAAAUUCGUAGAUAUUCGCAAGAACACCAGUGGCGAAGGCGGCUCACUGGCCCGAUACUGACGCUGAGGUGCGAAAGCGUGGGGAGCAAACAGG
rnacentral:rRNA from 1 species